UACGGGGGGGGCAAGCGUUGUUCGGAAUUACUGGGCGUAAAGGGCUCGUAGGCGGCCAACUAAGUCAGACGUGAAAUCCCUCGGCUUAACCGGGGAACUGCGUCUGAUACUGGAUGGCUUGAGGUUGGGAGAGGGAUGCGGAAUUCCAGGUGUAGCGGUGAAAUGCGUAGAUAUCUGGAGGAACACCGGUGGCGAAGGCGGCAUCCUGGACCAAUUCUGACGCUGAGGAGCGAAA
rnacentral:rRNA from 1 species